rnacentral:rRNA from 1 species
AUGCCUAGGAAAUUGCCCUGAUGUGGGGGAUAACCAUUGGAAACGAUGGCUAAUACCGCAUGAUGCCUACGGGCCAAAGAGGGGGACCUUCGGGCCUCUCGCGUCAGGAUAUGCCUAGGUGGGAUUAGCUAGUUGGUGAGGUAAGGGCUCACCAAGGCGACGAUCCCUAGCUGGUCUGAGAGGAUGAUCAGCCACACUGGAACUGAGACACGGUCCAGACUCCUACGGGAGGCAGCAGUGGGGAAUAUUGCACAAUGGGCGCAAGCCUGAUGCAGCCAUGCCGCGUGUGUGAAGAAGGCCUUCGGGUUGUAAAGCACUUUCAGUCGUGAGGAAGGUAGUGUAGUUAAUAGCUGCAUUAUUUGACGUUAGCGACAGAAGAAGCACCGGCUAACUCCGUGCCAGCAGCCGCGGUAAUACGGAGGGUGCGAGCGUUAAUCGGAAUUACUGGGCGUAAAGCGCAUGCAGGUGGUUUGUUAAGUCAGAUGUGAAAGCCCGGGGCUCAACCUCGGAAUAGCAUUUGAAACUGGCAGACUAGAGUACUGUAGAGGGGGGUAGAAUUUCAGGUGUAGCGGUGAAAUGCGUAGAGAUCUGAAGGAAUACCGGUGGCGAAGGCGGCCCCCUGGACAGAUACUGACACUCAGAUGCGAAAGCGUGGGGAGCAAACAGGAUUAGAUACCCUGGUAGUCCACGCCGUAAACGAUGUCUACUUGGAGGUUGUGGCCUUGAGCCGUGGCUUUCGGAGCUAACGCGUUAAGUAGACCGCCUGGGGAGUACGGUCGCAAGAUUAAAACUCAAAUGAAUUGACGGGGGCCCGCACAAGCGGUGGAGCAUGUGGUUUAAUUCGAUGCAACGCGAAGAACCUUACCUACUCUUGACAUCCAGAGAACUUUCCAGAGAUGGAUUGGUGCCUUCGGGAACUCUGAGACAGGUGCUGCAUGGCUGUCGUCAGCUCGUGUUGUGAAAUGUUGGGUUAAGUCCCGCAACGAGCGCAACCCUUAUCCUUGUUUGCCAGCGAGUAAUGUCGGGAACUCCAGGGAGACUGCCGGUGAUAAACCGGAGGAAGGUGGGGACGACGUCAAGUCAUCAUGGCCCUUACGAGUAGGGCUACACACGUGCUACAAUGGCGCAUACAGAGGGCGGCCAACUUGCGAAAGUGAGCGAAUCCCAAAAAGUGCGUCGUAGUCCGGAUUGGAGUCUGCAACUCGACUCCAUGAAGUCGGAAUCGCUAGUAAUCGUGGAUCAGAAUGCCACGGUGAAUACGUUCCCGGGCCUUGUACACACCGCCCGUCACACCAUGGGAGUGGGCUGCAAAAGAAGUAGGUAGUUUAACCUU